CUCCUUCUUCCCGCACGAGGACGAGGUGCUGAUCCCGCCCUUCGAGACCUUCGAGGUCACCGGUGUCACCAACGUCACCGCGGGCGGGGGCGGGGCGCGGAUCGAGCUGCGCUCCUCCGGCACCUUCAGCAACUACAACUGCCAGUGGCUGCGAGAGCAGCGCUGUGGAGACGGGCCCUGUGUGUUCGACACGGGCAGGAGCACCCCCCACCUCGGAGGGCUCCUCCUGGCCACUACAGCCCUGGCAGUGGCCACCGGGAUCCUCUGAGCCACCAUGGCCACCGAGAUCACCACCGGUCAUUGUGGUCACCGUGGUCACCAAGGCUGCUGGCACCUCCCCCAGCCACGAGGCCACCGAGGUGUCCAAAGUCACCAUGGCCACCGUGGCCACUGUGGCCACCAAGCCAGGACGAGUUAGGGGACAACACUGGAGCCACCAGGUGCCACCAGGACAUUGGGACAAGAGAGGGGACAGGGGGACUCUGAAUGUACCAUCGCUUUGGUUCUUCACUUUUGGGGGUUUUUUCCCCUCCCUUUCCCAAAAUUUUAAUUUUUCUUCCCAAUUAUUAAACUGGAUUUGCCUCAAUCCGUGAGUUUUCCUCUCGUUUUCCCAUCCCAAAUUAUCCUGGAAUUCCGGGAUUUCCUGGGGGCAGGAGGAAGAGGAAAAGGAGGUGGAAGAAGAGAAUUCGAAUAAUUUACCAAAAUAUGAG